CUACACCAUCUCCUAGUUAGUCCCGAAGAUACCUGGAGGAGACUGGAGUGGCGAUGCCACGAUUCCUCGAGAGGAUCUUGGAGCACCCUUUCAGAAACAGUGUCCUAGUAGAUCAUGAUUUAUCAGGGAAUUCUGAGAGAUGAGGCGAAAAAAGAAUGCCUCCGGAGGAAAAUAAAAAGUGAAAUUAGCUGAGCACAGGCGUAAGCUGCAAGACUUGACUUGACCUUGUUCCAGAUGAAUGCCCUGGAGUUCCUAAGAGGAAACUAUGUCUGAGACUGAUUUUACCAACAUGUAUUCGAUGAUGCAGUAUACUUAUAAAAGAGAGCCAAUCUUGUGUAGUGGUUAAGGCAUCAGGCUAAAAUCUGAGACAUUGUGAGUUCUAGUUCCAACUUAGGCAGAAAGCCAGCUGGGUGACCUUGGAGAAAGCCAGCUGGGUGACCUUGGGCCAGUCAUUCGCCUUAAGUCUUCUGAAAAAAAAAAAAGAUCCCUUCCAACUCUGUUACUCUGUUAAAAAAAACUUGCAAAGAAAACUGCAGGGACAUGUCCAGGCAAUCUCCAACAAUUGAACAUGGUUGAACCAAAGGGGAAAAAAAACUAUUAAAAAGCAAGCAAAGAAAACUGUCAUGAGUUCUUUUUUUAAACCACACUCGAUUGAAUUGACCCAUGCUCAAGAGAGAUACAAAAGCACUGGAUUUAGGACAGGUGAUUUCAUUAUAUCCCUUUUAUAUCCCCUUAUAAGCAUUGAAGAGAUGUUUUAUUUUGUAGGAGCAAGCAUAAGCAAGCUUAGUGUAUUCUGUUCAUUUGCUACCUCUGUGCUAUUACUAUGACAAUUACUAUGCUCUAUACUAUUACUCUUCAAUUACUAUGACAAUAUUUAUACCGUAUAGCGUUACUAUUCAAUGUACUAUUUUACUAUUUCCUGUUACUCUAUUAACAAUUACCUAUAUAAUGUGCUUUAUAUUAUAGUAUGCAUCAUGGCUUUCUAAAGCUGUCUUAAGGUCUUCUCUGACAUUAUUUUUCUGUUACCAGCCAGUAUGUAGACCUCUUGCGCUGUUUUUACACUGUGCUUUGUCUUGCUGGCCUGUUAGAUUUCUUUUCCUCUCUUCUGUAUGGUUCAUUCCUGAAGGAAAAAGGCUUUCUUUUAAUUGGACUGAGCUCUGUGCUGGUGGCUGCAGAGCUCCAGAACAGGCGUCUCCUCCCUUCUCCUUCCCUCUCCUCCCACACUUGUGUCAAGGUUGCAUCUUUAUUGACAACUCUGUCUUGGGAGAGGCUGCCCUGGGAAAAAGGCUCAGAGUGGAGCAAAAGAAGGCAGCACAGAGCCGUGCAAUUUUUUUCAGGCAGCCUGCUCUUCCACAAUACAGUAAAAUAAAUGGUGUUUCAUUUCAACCCCAAUUGACUAGAAUGGUAAAAGUGUGUGGGAACAGCCAAUAAUCCAUUCCGUUGCUCCAGUGUCACCUUUAGAAGUCAUUCACAUAUUCCAUUACCUGCUCCGAUUAUGCGUUUGUAGAUGAUAUCUCUCUCUGUGUAAUCUGUUUGUCAGAAUCCUCAGGCAACUCUGCUGAACACUUUGUCCACUUUAUUUCCAUUUUGUAAAUAUUAUGAAUAUUAUAAAUAUUCACAAUAUUUUAAAUAUUAUGAAAAACAAUCAAGUGAAGCAUAGCCUGCAGUGAUUAUAUUAAAUGGCGAUUAGAUAAAUCAAUGGAGGAUAGGUCUAUCAACAAAGCUUUCAGAAAUAAGGUUCAGAGAGAGUUUUUUCCUUUGUAUAUAGCAGUUGCUAGAAACAGAAAGAAUAGCUUUUGCACUGCUUAAAAACUUUUGAGUAGCAUGCAGGAUGGGGAACCUGUGACCCUCCAGAUUUUGCUGAACUACGGUGCCCAAGAAUUACUUGUGAAUUAUUGGCUAAUAUGAACAAUGGUGAGGAAUGCUGGGAGAUUUAAUCAGCAACAGCUUUAAAUUGAUUGUAAAAAAAUCGAUUUUUGUAACAGAGUUGUCAAAGUCUGUAAUAUUUUACCCAAUUCAAUCAUCUCAGCUACUAGCUUUCACAGUUUUAAUUCCAACUUAACUUCUAUGGACUGCAUCCUAUACAGUAUUUAAGAGGUUCCUAAGGGAGCAUGCGUAAGUGCACUAAUGUGCCUGUUGCCCGUCACAUUUCAGUUUUUUUCAUUUUGUUCAUUUGAAUUUGUAAUUUUUAUUUGACGAAUAAACAAACAAACACACAUCUGAAGGACCAGAUUCACAUCUAUGCUCUUUUUUUUUCUAAUGGAGACAGCCCACUACACUGAGGAUUGCAUAGUACAGCGGCCCCCAACCUUUAUGGCUUGUCAGCCUGGCGAGGGGGAGAGGGGAACUGGCCCGUGCAAGAGGCGGCCCUCCGCUCAUGCAAGUCAAGCUGUGCAUGUGUGCACACCAGCCUGUUGCUCAUGCAAGUUGAACUGUGCACUCCCGCACACUGACCCAUCACUUGCGCGGCCCAGUUCCAAACAGGCCACGGCCCAGGAGAUAGGGAGUUUUCCCCACUGCUUUUAAAAUAUCUCCCAUUGGCAGCAAUGAGCUCUUUCCUACUAUCAUGCAUAAAAGAUGCAAAAAGACUGUUUUAGCUUGAUAGGUUCAACAUGUUAUUAUCCAGAUCAGGAUCUUUCCCACACCUUCCCAACAAAGGAAAAAAAAUUGCCCUUUUCCAUAUAUUUAAAUCACUUCAUUAGGCUUGGGUCUGGCUAUCUAUCUAUCUAUCUAUCUAUCUAUCUAUCUAUACAUACAUACACAUACAUACAUACACAUACAUACACACACACACAUACAUGCAUACAUAUAUACAUACACACACACACACACAUACAUACACACACAAUGGCUGUUUCCUGCAUAUUUGAAGGCCUAUCUUAUGCACUUGCUGUUUAUAAUAUUUAUAAAAAUACUACAAAUAAGCCUGUGUAAUUCGUGGUCUAUCAGAUCUAAUAUAAUCCACCUGUUUACCAAGCCUCUGUGCACUAUGAACCACUUUAGGCUUGGUAAGUCAUGCAUUAUGCUAAUUUAUAGCUGGUUUCUACAUUUGGGAAUUUGGUGUUUUGUUCAGGAGCAUCCUUUGCAAAGUACCAGAAUCAAACUCCUUAUUUGCUAAGCUUUAGUAUAAAAUACUACAAAAACUAUCAGUAUCUGAAAACCAGAUACUUGUAAUAUAGUUAAUUUUCAUUCAAGUGCCAUCAGAUCCCUAAACAUUAUAAAAUGUUUUGUUGUAUUAUUAUUGUUGUAGUUUAAGGAUCGAGGACAAUCUCUCUCUAUUUCGUAUUUAUGUUAUUGUCACUAGACUAGAUACUGUAGUACUCCAUCGCUUGGUAUCUUCAAAUAGAAAAGAUGCUGAGAAUCUACUUUAAAGCUGCCUGUUACUGAAUUAGAUCUUUUAGCAUACACAUAUCAAAAUAUUUAAUAUAUAUUGAAAGAUAUCUUAGUUAGACAUAAUAAAAAUAAAAUAUAUAGAAAGGCUUCUUUAAAUAUGGAUAGAUGGGAAUAAUUAAACCUUACCCUUUGGGUAAAGUGAAUGCUUUCAAAAUGAAUAUCAUUCUCAGAUUAAUUUACAUGCAGAGAGGAAUACUUGGUCAAGUAUCUGGAAAAUAUUAAAAAAAAAAUUCUAAAGUUUUUGUUUAGAAAUUUCUAUGGGGUUUCUUUAUUCCUCCUUCUUAAAAAGCCACCCUUAGAUCCCACCAUACAAAUUUUUCAUUUUCAUCCAAUUUCCCACCUUCUGGUUGCAUUGCAUCUCCAAAGGAUCUUGGAUAAAAGGGAUUAUCUAGACCCCUUUCAGUCAGGUUUCAGGCCUGGUCAUUGGAAUGCGAAUGGCACUGGUUGCACUUGUUGACGAUCAUUGGUGAGAGUAGGAUUAUCCAAGGAUAGUGCAAUUAUCCUUGUUCUCCUUGACUUCUUGGUGACUUUCAAUAUCAUCAGUCAUGGUAUAAUUUUGGACCAGGUGCAGAAUUGGGACUGGGUGGUGCAGUGUUGCACUGGUUCCGUUCCUUUCUCCAUGGCUGGCUCUGUAUUAAUGGGGGGCAAGAAGUUCAGCCCACUGCUGCUCCUUUGUGGGUGCUGCAGGGCUCAGUACUCUCUGUGCUCCUUUUAAACUUCUAAAUGAAACCACUGGCCCUGUGGUGCAGCUGUAACAAUCUGAACAUGCUUAAAACUGUAGAGAUGAAAGUGGAUUUUAGGAGGAGCCCUUCUAUUUUACCACCUCUUACUAUAUUUAAUAGCACAGUAUCCGCAGUAGAAUUCUUCAAGUUUUGGGGUUCUAUAAUCUCCCAGGACUUGAAAUGGACACUUAACAUUAGAACCAUCAUUAAAAAUGUUCUUUGUCCGUCAACUCAGGAAGUUCAGACUGCCCCAGGAACUGUUGAUACAGUUCUACAGAAGAAUUAUUGAGUCUGUCAUUUCUACUUCUAUAGCUGUCUGGUUUAGUACAGCAACCAAACAGGACAGGCACAGAUUCCAACAAAUAGUUAGGACUGGAGAAAAAACAAUUGCAACCAGUGUGCCUUCUACAGAAGACCUGCAUAUUGUGUGGGUCAGAAGGAACGUUGAGAAGAUAUCUGCAGACCCUUCACAUCCUGAACAUAAACUGUUUCAACUUCUCAUGUUGGGACAGCACUAUAGGGCAUUGCAUGCCAAAACAACUAGGCACAAGGAGUUUUUCCCUCAUGCCAUCAUACCUAAUUCUCACAAUGCUGUCUAAUGUCUAUAUAUAUUUACCCAUGUAGUGUGGCUGUAUUAUUAUUUAUCCUUCAUACUAUUUUCAUUACUCCCCCCCCCUUUUUAUUGGGAUGAUGAUAAUGAUGAUGAUGAUUCUGUUGCUUUGCAUGUGCACUGAGUGCUUCUAUACCGGAGACAAAUUCCUUGUGUGUCUAAACACACUUGCCCAAAUAAAAAUCAAUUCAAUUCCAUUCAAAUUCAGACACCCAUUUGUCUGAUAUAGUACUAUAGAGUCUCCUGCUUGAGCAGGAGUUUGGACUAGAAGACCUUCAAGAUUCCUUCUAACUGUUAUUCCAUCUAUCAAACUAUCUCUUUUGGUAAGUGAAUGAUUCUUACAAUGCUUUGAGGCAUUUUUUUAAUAGAGUUCUUCAUUGAGAUAAUCUAUCAUGAAUUGUUUGGACAGACAGAAUGAGCUGAUGCAAUUGAUUACUGUGCAAUAGCUCAACUAUAAUAUCUUUCAGGUACUCUUUUCAGCUGGCUAUAUGUAGCCGAAGCAAUAUUAUAUCAUCACUAAUUGCAUCUACCAUUUCAAAAACAGUCUUUCUAUGUAUUUUACUGGAUCCACAGUACUCUGCAGAAUUUGUUUAAAUCAUUUUCCUUCAGAAUAGCUGUUCUUAUUUCCUCACCAGAAAGAAAUAGCUAAAGGAAACAAGGCUAAGGUAACAAUCUGCAGACUGUGCCAGAUACAUUAAGACAACUGCAGAGCACAGCACUGUAGACCUAACAAUGGAAGUGAUGUAUAUUCUAUAUGCAAAAUUAAGAGCUUAAUAGCUGAGUCAGACAGCGCUAGUAGGCAAUUAAACAUCUAAAGCAGGAAGUGGGGAGGGGUGAGAGAAUUCCACCCUGUCCUUGUAAGUAUUGUGUAGACAAGUUGAGUGCUCUUUAGAAGAAAAUAUAUUAGCUUUAACUGUAUAAUAAUAAACAUAAACUAAUAAA